rnacentral:tRNA from 1 species
UGCUGUAUAGCUCAGUGGUAGAGCGUUGGACUGUUAACCGGAUAUUUGUUGGAUCAAAACCAGCUGCUACCG